AGUCAUAUGCUUGUCUCAAAGAUUAAGCCAUGCAUGUCUCAGUACAAGCCAAAUUAAGGUGAAACCGCGAAAGGCUCAUUAAAUCAGUUAUGGUUCCUUAGAUCGUACCCACAUUUACUUGGAUAACUGUGGUAAUUCUAGAGCUAAUACAUGCCAACAGAACUCCGACCGGAGACGGAAGGAGUGCCUUUAUUAGAUCAAAACCAAUCGGUGGCAUGGCCCUGGUGUCGUGUCAUCGUACAACAUGGUGAAUCUGAAUAACGUUUGCUGAUCGCACGGUCUCGCACCGGCGACGCAUCUUUCAAAUGUCUGCCUUAUCAACUGUCGAUGGUAGGUUCUGCGCCUACCAUGGUUGUAACGGGUAACGGGGAAUCAGGGUUCGAUUCCGGAGAGGGAGCCUGAGAAACGGCUACCACAUCCAAGGAAGGCAGCAGGCGCGCAAAUUACCCACUCCCGGCACGGGGAGGUAGUGACGAAAAAUAACGAUACGGGACUCAUCCGAGGCCCCGUAAUCGGAAUGAGCACACUUUAAAUCCUUUCACGAGGAUCAAUCGGAGGGCAAGUCAGGUGUCAGCAGCCGCGGUAAUUCCUGCUCCGAUAGCGUAU
rnacentral:rRNA from 2 species